GAGUUUGAUCUUGGCUCAGAUUGAACGCUGGCGGCAGGCCUAACACAUGCAAGUCGAGCGGAUGAAGGGAGCUUGCUCCUGGAUUCAGCGGCGGACGGGUGAGUAAUGCCUAGGAAUCUGCCUGGUAGUGGGGGAUAACGUCCGGAAACGGGCGCUAAUACCGCAUACGUCCUGAGGGAGAAAGUGGGGGAUCUUCGGACCUCACGCUAUCAGAUGAGCCUAGGUCGGAUUAGCUAGUUGGUGGGGUAAAGGCCUACCAAGGCGACGAUCCGUAACUGGUCUGAGAGGAUGAUCAGUCACACUGGAACUGAGACACGGUCCAGACUCCUACGGGAGGCAGCAGUGGGGAAUAUUGGACAAUGGGCGAAAGCCUGAUCCAGCCAUGCCGCGUGUGUGAGAAGGUCUUCGGAUUGUAAAGCACUUUAAGUUGGGAGGAAGGGCAGUAAGUUAAUACCUUGCUGUUUUGACGUUACCAACAGAAUAAGCACCGGCUAACUUCG
rnacentral:rRNA from 1 species